AUUGAACGCUGGCGGCAGGCUUAACACAUGCAAGUCGAACGGGUGGCGGACGGGUGAGUAAUGCUUGGGAAUCUAGCUUAUGGAGGGGGAUAAGUACGGGAAACCGUAGCUAAUACCGCGUACCAUAGGAUGAGCCCAAGUGGGAUUAGGUAGUUGGUGAGGUAAAGGCUCACCAAGCCGACGAUCUCUAGCUGGCCUGAGAGGAUGACCCGUCACCCUGGGACUGAGACACGGCCCAGACUCCUAUGUGCGGCAGCAGCGGGGAAUAUUGCGCCAUGGGGGCAACCGGACACAGCCAUGCCGCGUGAAUGAAGAAGGCCUUCGUGUUGUAAAGUACUUUCAGUCGGGAGGCGUUACCGACCGAAGAAGCACCGGCUAACUCCGUGCCAGCCGCCGCGGUAAUAC
rnacentral:rRNA from 1 species